GUUUUUAACUGGAAAUCAUGUGAAGAUAUUCCAGUAGAGCCCCAGAAUAUGAAUAUAGAGCUGGAAAUGUUCAGAAUAUGUCCUCGUUAAUCCCGUAUUUAAAGAUAGCAGAUUAAAACAAUGUUAAUAUUGCCACUACAUCCACUCUUGAUAAUGUUACGUUAGCUUACUUUUUUAUAAACGCCAGCGUGUUCUGCAUGUUUUUGAAGUUUGUCACGUUUGUUUUGUUGCUGCUUCUUGUUUUAUUUUCAGUUGUUUCCGUUGGCCGUCUUUACUGGCAAAGACGUAACGUUACUGAAACACAAAAUGCUGCUUACUUUUGCAACAGGACAAGCAGCUGAAUUAACAUCUGAACACGAGAUAGUUUUGUGUGUCAGAGGAUAAUGUUCGACCAAUCAGGAGAUGCAAGGUGUGAUUCUGCAGAUACAUGUGCAGGUUGUUUAAUAAAGACUUUCAGUAACACUUUAUAGUAAGGGAACAUGAAUUAUCAUCACUUCAUGCAUGAAAAAGCAUGAAUUAAUUCACGUAAAACCUCAUGAACUAUCAGGAAUGUACAAGUCAGGUUUUUAUCUCGUCAUUUUAACUGCAGACUUAACAAUGAAGAAGACAUGAACAUCAUUAAUAACUCACAAAUCAUGAUGAUUGAAAGAAAUAUCUUCCCCUAGUAAACGUAUUGUUCUUGCAUUAAGGCAUGCAUAAGAUAAUGUUAAUUCUUCUGCAUCCCUGAUAGUUCAUGAGGUUUUUCAUGCAUGAAGUGAUGAUAAUUCAUGUAACACAUUCACAUUAUCAGUAUUUGUCAUUUGUUAACAAAAAUUGUGAUAUAUUUUGUUAUAAUUCUGGUUUUCAGGUUACUUUUUCACUCGGUUUCCAUCCAGUUUCUAUCAUGAAUAAAAAAGGCUGUCAUUAACACAAUUAACAAUGGAAACUAUGACUGUAGUAAACUAAAACUAAAUAAUCAUAAGCUUAAUUCCUAAAAUAACAUUAGCAAAGUAGAGACCAAUGAAAACAUCACUGAUUGGUUGUAAAAGGCGGCUUAUGGGAGCUUUGAUCAUAUGGCAGUUGUUAUUGCUCAGACAAACUGAAUGGAGGGAUUUGAGACAUUUUCUUAAGGAUUUAUCCCGUUGAAUUUGUAAGAAGGUCGGGGUUCAGGUGACCUCUGACCACUGGCUUCCUUGUUAUUGAUUGUCUGAUUGUUUUGAAGUUGUUUACUGCUGCUGCGAUGGGAACUCUUCCGACAGAUAAAUUCUUGUCUCUUUUUGUCUGCCUUUCUAUAAUGAAACGGCGCAUAUAAUAUAUUUAAGAUCAAAGAUUUCAAGACUAUUUUCUCAACAGGCGGAAGUAGAAAGAAAGAAAGUAGUUUGUUUCCUAUCGUGGUCAAUGUUGGCGUCUUUUAACCAUGACUGCAAUCUUUCUCUAACCUUAAUCUAAUAGUUUUUACACCUAAAUCCAACCAAGCCUUAACAAUAGAGAUGACACGUCAUGACAACAGUCAGGAAGGUGUUAACAAGCAAUGUUGUACACACCAAGUUUCCCUAUCGUAACUUAUAGAUGGGUUUCAAUCUGAAUAUAGUGCAAAAUUUAACCUAAUUUCCAGAAAAUAGGUAAAAGAAAACUUGAAUUCAUGCUUGUUUCCUUCCACUACUGCUCUGUGCACUGAGCUCCUCUCCUCCUCCUCCUCCUCCUCCUCCUCCUCCUCCUCCUCCUCUCCAUCUGUACGCAUUCAUGCCCCAUUAAUGCAUGUUACUAACUUGGCUUCUUCCCCCGGAGUUUUUGUGCUUUCUCGUCUAGCAGGUGACCUUCGGUUGCGGACCGCCUGCUGCCCGUGGCUGCGGGACCUCCUGCCGUCUUAAUGACCCGACGUUGGUGAUGCAGGAUCUGCUUCAGUUUGUGGGCCGCAGUCAUGACAGCCAACAGUAGGCAGGUCAAAGGGAGAGUCGCACAUCAUCAGGACAGCCGUCAGUGAGAGUCCAUCAGAUCAGCGUUUUGUCGUCCACAUCCUGUCCUGUCGUCUGGUUCUACAUCGGAGCAAGCAGCUGGGGACAGUGACGGUCCAAACGCUCAAUCACCAUCACUUAUCAGCCCUGCAGGGUGGCAGCGUCUCCAUUCCCGCCAUUCUCAACACGCCAUCACUGUCAGAUUGUGGACCAGUUUGCCCCGAACUGCCAGAUCUUCCCCUUCAAUUAGCACCUUUAAAUCCCGGCUAAAGACCCAACUGAAUAUGAUUGUAUUUGAGUCUCCUUAAUCAGCUUUCAGUUCGACCUCCAAACAAACUGGUUUUCCGAUCUGAUCAUCUGAUUACAUUGCUGGACCCACCAGACUUCUUUUUAGUGACGUCAGCAUGUUGCCAGAUCUCAGCGAUUAACCUGGUGAGGAAAAUAACACCCGAGUUACACGUCGUCAUCUGGAACGAUCUCUCGGUGAACAUUAACAGGAUGGAGAAGGUAACUUUAAAAAGAUGCUCAACAGACAAUGACAACAAAUGUUGCUUAUAGGACUCAAUGUGCUCUUACAUUAAUGAUUAUGGGCUUAACCACUUACCAUAAGGUAAGCAGCCUGCACUGUAAGCUUGCACCAUAAGGGGAAACUCCAUUCAUCUAUCCGUUGUCAUUACCUGAUUAUCCUGAGCAGGGUUGCAGUGGGUG